rnacentral:ncRNA from 1 species
GUAAAUUCUCAGGGCGGGGUGAAAUUCCCCACCGGCGGUAUGUUUUACUCAAUACUUUUUUGAUUAAAACGAGCCCGCGAGCGCUUUAUUUAAUUUAUUUUUACAAUAUUGAAAAAGUUAAAUGAAGGUCAAGCAGAUCUGGUGAGAUGCCAGAGCCGACGGUUAAAGUCCGGAUGAAAGAGAAUAUAG